UACGUAGGAGGCGAGCGUUGUCCGGAGUUAUUGGGCGUAAAGGGCGCGUAGGCGGCCUGGCAAGUGGAAGGUGAAAUCCCUCGGCUUAACCGAGGAACUGCCCUCCAAACUGCUUGGCUUGAGUCCGGGAGAGGGUAGCGGAAUUCCCAGUGUAGCGGUGAAAUGCGUAGAUACUGGGAGGAACACCGGUGGCGAAGGCGGCUACCUGGACCGGUUCUGACGCUGAUGCGCGAAAGCGUGGGUAGCAAACAGG
rnacentral:rRNA from 1 species